AAAUUGAAGAGUUUGAUCAUGGCUCAGAUUGAACGCUGGCGGCAGGCCUAACACAUGCAAGUCGAACGGUAACAGGAAGAAGCUUGCUUCUUUGCUGACGAGUGGCGGACGGGUGAGUAAUGUCUGGGAAACUGCCUGAUGGAGGGGGAUAACUACUGGAAACGGUAGCUAAUACCGCAUAACGUCGCAAGACCAAAGAGGGGGACCUUCGGGCCUCUUGCCAUCGGAUGUGCCCAGAUGGGAUUAGCUUGUUGGUGGGGUAACGGCUCACCAAGGCGACGAUCCCUAGCUGGUCUGAGAGGAUGACCAGCCACACUGGAACUGAGACACGGUCCAGACUCCUACGGGAGGCAGCAGUGGGGAAUAUUGCACAAUGGGCGCAAGCCUGAUGCAGCCAUGCCGCGUGUAUGAAGAAGGCCUUCGGGUUGUAAAGUACUUUCAGCGGGGAGGAAGGGAGUAAAGUUAAUACCUUUGCUCAUUGACGUUACCCGCAGAAGAAGCACCGGCUAACUCCGUGCCAGCAGCCGCGGUAAUACGGAGGGUGCAAGCGUUAAUCGGAAUUACUGGGCGUAAAGCGCACGCAGGCGGUUUGUUAAGUCAGAUGUGAAAUCCCCGGGCUCAACCUGGGAACUGCAUCUGAUACUGGCAAGCUUGAGUCUCGUAGAGGGGGGUAGAAUUCCAGGUGUAGCGGUGAAAUGCGUAGAGAUCUGGAGGAAUACCGGUGGCGAAGGCGGCCCCCUGGACGAAGACUGACGCUCAGGUGCGAAAGCGUGGGGAGCAAACAGGAUUAGAUACCCUGGUAGUCCACGCCGUAAACGAUGUCGACUUGGAGGUUGUGCCCUUGAGGCGUGGCUUCCGGAGCUAACGCGUUAAGUCGACCGCCUGGGGAGUACGGCCGCAAGGUUAAAACUCAAAUGAAUUGACGGGGGCCCGCACAAGCGGUGGAGCAUGUGGUUUAAUUCGAUGCAACGCGAAGAACCUUACCUGGUCUUGACAUCCACAGAACUUUCCAGAGAUGGAUUGGUGCCUUCGGGAACUGUGAGACAGGUGCUGCAUGGCUGUCGUCAGCUCGUGUUGUGAAAUGUUGGGUUAAGUCCCGCAACGAGCGCAACCCUUAUCCUUUGUUGCCAGCGGUCCGGCCGGGAACUCAAAGGAGACUGCCAGUGAUAAACUGGAGGAAGGUGGGGAUGACGUCAAGUCAUCAUGGCCCUUACGACCAGGGCUACACACGUGCUACAAUGGCGCAUACAAAGAGAAGCGACCUCGCGAGAGCAAGCGGACCUCAUAAAGUGCGUCGUAGUCCGGAUUGGAGUCUGCAACUCGACUCCAUGAAGUCGGAAUCGCUAGUAAUCGUGGAUCAGAAUGCCACGGUGAAUACGUUCCCGGGCCUUGUACACACCGCCCGUCACACCAUGGGAGUGGGUUGCAAAAGAAGUAGGUAGCUUAACCUUCGGGAGGGCGCUUACCACUUUGUGAUUCAUGACUGGGGUGAAGUCGUAACAAGGUAACCGUAGGGGAACCUGCGGUUGGAUCAC
rnacentral:rRNA from 1 species